rnacentral:rRNA from 1 species
CCUACGGGUGGCAGCAGUGAGGAAUAUUGGUCAAUGGGCGAGAGUCUGAACCAGCCAAGUCGCGUGAAGGAUGACGGCCCUACGGGUUGUAAACUUCUUUUGUCAGGGAGCAAUUGGGUCCACGCGUGGGCUUAGCGAGAGUACCUGAAGAAAAAGCAUCGGCUAACCCCGUGCCAGCAGCCGCGGUAAUACGGAGGAUGCGAGCGUUAUCCGGAUUUAUUGGGUUAAAAGGGUGCGUAGGCGGGAUAUCAAGUCAGCGGGAAAAAUUCGGGCCUAAACCCCGUCGUGCCGUUGAAACUGAUGUUCUUGAGUGGGCGAGAAGUAUGCGGAAUGCGUGGUGUAGCGGUGAAACGCAUAGAUAUCACGAAGAACUCCGAUUGCGAAGGCAGCAUACCGGCGCCCAACUGACGCUGAAGCACGAAAGCGUGGGUAUCGAACAGGAUUAGAUACCCGUGUAGUC